ACUGAUAAAUAAGUGAUAAUCACUUGAAACUUGUUUGCUUUCUCAUCCUAGUGAUAGUGGACAGGUGUUCAACAAAUGGGUUAGUACUACAAAUGAUAAAUGAAGCAAGCUUUCAAGAAAUAAAAAGCCAUAUAUAAAAUAAAAAUCAAGCAAAAUAUUUCGCAACUGUGGUUAAAUUUCACGCUCUAUUGUGAUGUGAUACGGUUCAUAUUCAAACAACUAACACAAGCACCACUGACCUUUGCGUCCGUACUUCUAGCGUGUAGCAAACCAUAAUACUACUUCAUCUUGUGGCAUAGACAGGCACCAUAUGGCUUGUAACCUCUUUGAUA
rnacentral:lncRNA from 1 species